rnacentral:hammerhead_ribozyme from 1 species
AUCCAGCUGACGAGCCACAAAUGGGACGAAACACGCGUCCUGGAU